rnacentral:lncRNA from 10 species
CUCAUUUCUACACACAGGCCAACCUAACUAUGGGAGGAAUUUAGUUUACAGUUUAACUUUAAAGCAAGGAUGGUAAUAGUCCUUUCCCAAAACUAACCCCCUCCUUGUUAAGGGACCAAAGCUGCUUUUGUAGAACUAAUAAAAGGCCACAAGGUUAAAAUUAUGGUAAGGGCCAGAACUCUAUUAAUAAAGAUGUAGGCAUAGUUAAACUCUAACCAGGCAUCAUUUUAUAACUUGCUUUUUUGUAACUGCUUACUGCUCAGGAAGCAUGUAGCCCGUGGUCAAAAG